rnacentral:misc_RNA from 1 species
GGGGCAUGCGGCCGAGAGGCCGCUCCCCUCAAAUGCAUCGGUCGGGCCUGUGGGUUCGAACUCGAUUGGGCGUUGUACCAUCCUCGCUCCGCAGAGUCGACCCGCGUUAACGUGCCCUUCCUCGACCCGCCUCUGGAGCGGCGGUCAAACACUUUUUGAAAUCUGACCUCAAAUCAGGUAGGACUACCCGCUGAACUUAA